GCCUAACACAUGCAAGUCGAACGGUAGCACAGAGAGCUUGCUCUCGGGUGACGAGUGGCGGACGGGUGAGUAAUGUCUGGGAAACUGCCCGAUGGAGGGGGAUAACUACUGGAAACGGUAGCUAAUACCGCAUAACGUCUUCGGACCAAAGUGGGGGACCUUCGGGCCUCACACCAUCGGAUGUGCCCAGAUGGGAUUAGCUAGUAGGUGGGGUAACGGCUCACCUAGGCGACGAUCCCUAGCUGGUCUGAGAGGAUGACCAGCCACACUGGAACUGAGACACGGUCCAGACUCCUACGGGAGGCAGCAGUGGGGAAUAUUGCACAAUGGGCGCAAGCCUGAUGCAGCCAUGCCGCGUGUAUGAAGAAGGCCUUCGGGUUGUAAAGUACUUUCAGUGGGGAGGAAGGCGAUG
rnacentral:rRNA from 1 species